UCCUACGGGGCGCAGCAGUGAGGAAUAUUGGUCAAUGGACGCAAGUCUGAACCAGCCAUGCCGCGUGCAGGAUGACGGCUCUAUGAGUUGUAAACUGCUUUUGUACGAGGGUAAACCCCGAUACGUGUAUCUGUCUGAAAGUAUCGUACGAAUAAGGAUCGGCUAACUCCGUGCCAGCAGCCGCGGUAAUACGGAGGAUUCAAGCGUUAUCCGGAUUUAUUGGGUUUAAAGGGUGCGUAGGCGGAAUAUCAAGUCAGCGGUAAAAAUUCGGGGCUCAACCCCGUCGUGCCGUUGAAACUGAUGUU
rnacentral:rRNA from 1 species